CAGAUCCACAAAAGAGAAGAGGCUUAAGGUGAAGAUUUGGCCCUAACAUUUUACAGGGCUCCUGACAUUGCUAAAACCUUCAACUCGAAGCCAGUCUCUCCCUUGGCCUCCUUUCUCCAGAAAAUUCAGUAAGAAAGAUUCUUCCUCCUCCUUUUUUUUUUUAGCAAUGAAAAUAUUUAUUCUUCAUCAAAGAAAUGAAGAGUGAGUUAGUGUAUAUUCAAAUUUUUAUACUGAGUUGAUUUAAUCCAAAUUAGAAUUUUUGGAAGAAGACAGUACUAAUUCCAACACUUUGAGUAUUAAAACCAAUAAGCUUCCAACAUGCAUAAUUCAUAUUCAGGGAGAGCUUUUCUUAGCUUCAUAAUUAUUACUUCUUUCCAUGGCUGAAAUUGCUGGCAUUUGUUUUGUGGCCCUCUUGGUUUAUUUAAUCUCUUUAUCUAUGAAAUGGAAGCUCAGGGAGACUUCUUAGUUUUCCUCUUUCACUCCAGGUUUAAACAUUGAAAAUAUCCAAUUCCUGGUUUGAAAAUGAUGGGCUGCCAACCCAUAGGUGCUGGAGGGCGUUCUCAAGCCUUCGUGUCCCCAGCCCUAACACUUCAAGUGCCAGCCUCAUAUGAAGCUGAAAGACUGCAACCUCACCUGCUUUUAGUGAGAAUUCUGAUCUACUGGUUUCCUGUCGGAUUCCUGCUGGAGGUGCUUAGCUGCUUCUGCCACUUUCACUGGAGAUGACAAGAGCAACCUCACACCUGUAUAUUUGGCCAUUUUGGAUUAUAAUUUCCAAAAAUCCAGAAGCCAGCUUCCUCAGAAUCAAGGGCAUGGUGGCCAUCGUCUAUUGAGUAAUUGUUCUCAAUUCAUCUACAGUGUUACCACUAUCUAGUCCAAGGGUGAGCCCUCCAGUAACCUGGUGUUGUGGGAUAUUUUCCCUUUGGAAAUUCUUUCUUUUAACAUCUGCACUGUAGUAUAUCUCAAAUUGCUGAUUUAUCCUGGCUAAUUUGGAGAAAUGUUUUCUUUCCUCCAAACCCUGUCACCCACCUCACAGAAUGGGGAUUCACAAAAAGCUUCUCAAACCUACUAGCAGUCAGAGAAAUGCAAAUGAGUAGGUAGGGAGACAUGAGCCCACGAUCAUUUCCCUAAGAUGGCAAACAUUUGGGAGUUAGUGUUGCAGUUACUUCUUGCCAAGUAGCGAAUUUACCCAACACUUAGCAACAAUGCCUUAAGAUGGUUGGACUCUAAUACAGCAAGGAGCAGCCGAGAGGCACACCCUUACAUUUUUCUGAUCUCUCAGAAAACCGUCUUAAGGGCUCACUCAGGACCAAAUUUUUUCUGAUGAUAUUCUAGAUUUCAUCUUUGCAUUUUCUUAUUUUGAGGACCUUUGCUUCCUAGAAAGGCUACUCUCAGAUUUUCUUUAAAUUUUGAUAUAAAAUAAAAUAGUUUCUUCU
rnacentral:lncRNA from 1 species